rnacentral:rRNA from 1 species
CUAACACAUGCAAGUCGAGCGGGGGAAGGUAGCUUGCUACUGGACCUAGCGGCGGACGGGUGAGUAAUGCUUAGGAAUCUGCCUAUUAGUGGGGGACAACAUCUCGAAAGGGAUGCUAAUACCGCAUACGUCCUACGGGAGAAAGCAGGGGAUCUUCGGACCUUGCGCUAAUAGAUGAGCCUAAGUCGGAUUAGCUAGUUGGUGGGGUAAAGGCCUACCAAGGCGACGAUCUGUAGCGGGUCUGAGAGGAUGAUCCGCCACACUGGGACUGAGACACGGCCCAGACUCCUACGGGAGGCAGCAGUGGGGAAUAUUGGACAAUGGGGGGAACCCUGAUCCAGCCAUGCCGCGUGUGUGAAGAAGGCCUUAUGGUUGUAAAGCACUUUAAGCGAGGAGGAGGCUACUUUAGUUAAUACCUAGAGAUAGUGGACGUUACUCGCAGAAUAAGCACCGGCUAACUCUGUGCCAGCAGCCGCGGUAAUACAGAGGGUGCGAGCGUUAAUCGGAUUUACUGGGCGUAAAGCGUGCGUAGGCGGCUUAUUAAGUCGGAUGUGAAAUCCCCGAGCUUAACUUGGGAAUUGCAUUCGAUACUGGUGAGCUGGAGUAUGGGAGAGGAUGGUAGAAUUCCAGGUGUAGCGGUGAAAUGCGUAGAGAUCUGGAGGAAUACCGAUGGCGAAGGCAGCCAUCUGGCCUAAUACUGACGCUGAGGUACGAAAGCAUGGGGAGCAAACAGGAUUAGAUACCCUGGUAGUCCAUGCCGUAAACGAUGUCUACUAGCCGUUGGGGCCUUUGAGGCUUUAGUGGCGCAGCUAACGCGAUAAGUAGACCGCCUGGGGAGUACGGUCGCAAGACUAAAACUCAAAUGAAUUGACGGGGGCCCGCACAAGCGGUGGAGCAUGUGGUUUAAUUCGAUGCAACGCGAAGAACCUUACCUGGCCUUGACAUACUAGAAACUUUCCAGAGAUGGAUUGGUGCCUUCGGGAAUCUAGAUACAGGUGCUGCAUGGCUGUCGUCAGCUCGUGUCGUGAGAUGUUGGGUUAAGUCCCGCAACGAGCGCAACCCUUUUCCUUACUUGCCAGCAUUUCGGAUGGGAACUUUAAGGAUACUGCCAGUGACAAACUGGAGGAAGGCGGGGACGACGUCAAGUCAUCAUGGCCCUUACGGCCAGGGCUACACACGUGCUACAAUGGUCGGUACAAA